AUUGCAGCUCCGUGCCGGGGGCGCCAGCACCGGCCUCGCAGCUCCCUCGCCCGGCCGGGGAGGUAAACAAAGUGAAAUAUCCUUCCGCGGCCCGGGGCCCCGGGCGCAGCACCCUGGGUGUCGGCUGCGAGCCGGCUGCGAGCCCAGCUGCGGGCGGCUGGGCCGGGGUUACCAGCAGCGACUCCCGAGCCGUUCCCCACACGCUGCUCCCGCAGCGCCCGCUCCAGCUCUUCGUAGCUCGUUCAUGUUCCUGGCGCUUUUCCCCAGAAAGCCAGGCACGCUCUGAGCAUUGGGCCCCCAGGCUCAGAUGUGGCCCUGAAUGAGGAGCUCUGUUUUGGAAGAAUGCGCUUUCAUCGGUAUUGCUGCCUGGAGUUUCGAGAAUUCGUUUCAUGGUAUCUCUCCGACAUCCUCCUCUCCAUUUAAAAGGAAAUCCAUUGCUUCCUUUUAGUUGGUGUCACCGCUUGCCCCCGAUCCCCACAUCCUGGGCUUGUAUUUCUAGUGUUUUCAGCAGAAGAGGAACUGAAGGCAUCUUUUGAUUCAGGUCAAAUUUAAUCACUAAUUCUUCCCUUCCCAGUGCAUUGCCUGGAGGGCCUUGGAGGCCAAGCUAGACAAAACUUUGCACCCACACCUCCAGGGAGCGCUGUUGGGUCCUAUCCAGGGUGCUGGGCGUCCUGAGUCCUCUUCUGUUAGCCAGGUGAAGGCUGCAGUUUCACGCCCCACUCCACCCCCCAUUUCGCCACCCCCCCCGAAUUAUUCGUAACUUCCUUGGGAGAUUCCAGUCCGCGGGCUUGGACAGGAACACCGGAAGCAAGGGGCUUGAACUCAGGCAGAGGCUUCAAACGCCAGCCUUGAUCUAAGAUAUCCUGGUGAAUGAGAAGCGAUCUAGUAGAGGACAAACUUAAAAAAAAAAAUCCCAAGGAACUGAGAAAGGGGAGUUGGGACGACUCCUGGAGCCCUCUGAGCUUUUGCAUGCGUGUAGUAUAUUUUCCACUGGAGGAGGGGACUAAAUUAUUGUCCACUGUAGGACACUUUCAGUAAAAGAAGGGAGCUAUUUAUAAUUAUGUCCACUUGGGACAACAGUCACUCUAAUGAUCAGGAGUCCUGGGAAUGUGGCCAGAGAUGGAGAGGACAUUGACUAUAAAGCUUCCACCCAGCAGCACAGAGUUAAAAGGAAGGUUAAGAAGUGGACCCGUGCCUUCCAGCACCUCUCACCAUCCUACUCCCCACAAACCUGCCUAGGAUUCAGUCCCAGAUCCCAGCAGAAUAGAUCUAUUUCCCUAGGCGAUCACCAGGACCACUGACCGAGCAGGGUCCCCUAAUCCAGUCUUACCCCAGGAAGACACUUGGCCUGUGUUAGGAACAGUCUCGAAGCAACCCCUGCUGUUGAGUCAGAAAGAGAGGUGCCUAGCCUCCUCUAUGCAGUGGCCAAGAGAGCUUUGUAAUAAUUAGGGGUUGGGACACCUGUGUGCUAGCCCUGGCUGGGUCUCUGAUUUCAAAUGGAAAUUGGGUGAAGACCUUGUUUUUUCUCCCUAGAUCCCUGUUUCUUCAUCUGUAAGAUGAGAAGCAUAAUACCCGCCCUGCUCACCUCAUGUGGUUGCUUUAGAAUUAUAUUUUCAAUUCCAGGAAAUCUAUGAAGGCUUACUAUAAGCCGGGCUCUGUGCUGAGUGUUAGGGAUCCAAUAUGAGUAAGAUCUGGUCUCUGCCACCCAAGAGCGCAGGGUCUAGCCCGGCAGAAAGACUGGGAAACAAAUAAUGUCAUUGUGUAACAAUGUGGCAAUUAGAAUAUCAAGGCCUCAAGGGAGCAUGGAGGAGGGAAUGACUUUUCCUGAACGUCAGGGAGUUUUCCCAGAAAAUGUGAUUUUUAUUACCUUGAACUAAUCCAGAGCAAAUAUUUAUUGAAACCUACUAUGUGCCAGACACUGGAUAUGAAGAUACAAUGAUUUGAAAAAUAUAUUUCCUGUCUUCAUGGACCUUGAAAUAGCCCUAUGAGUCAUAAAAUAAAAUGAAUAAGAGAUUGUUGUUGGCAUUUCAGGCAGAGGGAAGGAAUGUGGAAAAGCAAGGGAGUGGGAUGUUCUGAAAUUUCUAGUAAUGCACCAUGUUCCAGCAGUGGCAGCUGGGAGCAGUGGCCAGGCAUGUGGCUGGCAAAGUGGACUGAUUGGGAUUAGAUCGGGAAGGGGUUGAUAGACACAACUAGCAACAGUGGUCUUCCUAGUAGAGGAGAUGGCGAAGCACGGCUGACAUUGGGAAGUGACACGGUCGUUUGUGGGAUUUAGAUCCUGCUGCAGAUCACAGGGAGUAGAUACUACUGGGCUUCCAAGGAAAGAGAGAGCAGAAAUAGUAUAAACCUCUAGUGAUGCUGUACAGGAUUAAUAGUGAAUUUAUGACUUGUGAUGAAAUUACACAGUGGCCAUUCUCCUGCCUGUCCUUGAAGGCCAAAUUCAUGGCUUAGUGCUAUGUUUGUUGAUUAAAUUCACGGAGCUAUUGCAGUGCAGGAUAAAUUAGAUAAUUUGUAUCAAGUGCCUUAAAUAUUUGUUAUGUCUGUUAACUCGGUAAUUCUUAGCAAAUUGGAAAAGAAAAAAGCAUGUAGUAGGAAGAUCUGGGUGGGGAUCUUUAUUCAUUCACUUUUUAGCCAUAUGACUUUGGUCAAGUUUGGAAUAUUUUAAUCUAUAAAGUGAAAUUACAAUAGAAAUUUUGUCUUAAUGUAUAGCAAUUAUGGAAGAUGUGUAUAAAGCAUCUGGCACAAUGUCUUGCCUAUAAUAAAAACUCAAGGCCGGGUGUGGUGGCUCACACCUGUAAUCCCAGCACUUUGGGAGGCCAAAGCGAGCCGAUCACGAGGUCAAGAGAUCGAGACCAUCCUGGCCAACAUUGUGAAACCGCGUCACUACUAAAAAUACAAAAAUUAGCUGGGCAUGGUGGCACAUGCCUAUAGUCCCGGCUACUUGGGAGGCUGAGGCUAGAGAAUUGCUUGAACUUGGGAGGUGGAGGUUGCAGUGAGCCGAGAUCACGCCACUGCACUCCAGCCUGGCAACAGAGCAAGACUCCAUCUCAAAAAAAAAAAAAGCAGCCGUUACUAUUUUACUAUUGUUGUUGUUGGAAUUCAUCCACAGAAAGCAAUCUAACAUGAAGUAAUAGUAAUAGAUAACAUGUUUACAGUAUUGGCAAGGUGUGUGGGAGUUGUUAAACAUAGUUAUAAGAAUGGUCCUAUACAGUAUGCAACAAUAAUAAAAUAUGUGGCAAUUAAAAAAGGAUUAUAUAAUUACAAGGGGAUAUAUUUAAACCAGUCUACUCUGCAGUAGGACAAAUCCAGUUGUCUUGGGUCAGUAACAUGUUGUGCAUGUUUUCUAGAACAUUCUUUAUUCUGCAAUAUAUUUAGCUGCUCCUUCACUCACUCAUUCACUUUAUUGCUCAUUAGUUCAUUCAUUUACAAACACACAGUGGGCCUCUGCUAAAUGUGAAGCCCUAAACUAAGUGCUGUGUGUGUUGAUCAAAUAAUAAUAAAUGCUUUUGGAGAAGAAACCAUAAGACUACUAUAUCACUUUAAGGCCUUUACCAUAUGUGACAACAUUUCCCGUGUUUCAACUCGGGCAGCAAGUCAUGUGUAGGCUCAAAACUAUUUGAUAAACUUCUAGUUUAAGUUGUAGAGAGUUUCACGUCAUGCUGAUGUGCACGCAGACUGUGGCCUGCUGAACUCCAGAACAUUCCAUUCUCACUGACAGCUCUGUGAAUGAAACCCUGAAGUUGUGCAAAAUGCAGUUGUCCUGGUCUGUUUGGGCUGCUAUAAUAAAAUAUACGCUGGUGGCACAUAAACAACAGAAAUGUAUUUCUCACAGUUCUAGAAGCUGGAAAGUCCAAGUCGAGGCAUCGGCCCGUUUUGUGUCUGGUAAGGGCCAGAGUCCUGGUUCAUAGAUGGCACCUUCAUACUGUUCUCACGUGGUGGAAGUGGCAGGACAGCUCUCUGGGGUCUCUUUUAUAAGGACACUAACCUUAUUCUUGAGGUCUCUGCCCUCAUGACCUAUCACCUCACAAAGACCUCAUGUCCUAAUACAAUCACGUUGGUGAUUAUGUUUCAACAUGUGAAUCUGGGGGGACACAAGCAUUCUGACCAAGCAGCUGUUAGAGCCUUAGACAUAAACCCAUUGGCCUGAAAUUCAGGAACUUCCCAACAACUUCGUCUCUCACUUUUGGUUACCUACCGGCCAGCUGCUCAUCACCCCAUGGACUCCAGGCUCCUACUUUUGUGUUUAUGACUUGGAUCAUUUCCUCCUGCGUAUUUGGUGCCUCCAUGUUUCCCUGGAAUCUUUUCCAGGAUGUUCCCUUCACCUGGCUGCACUCCCUCAGUUCAAGGUUACAUUCCCCAGUUCUCUUAUUUGGCUAUGUGGAUGUGUCAGGUUUUAAAUGACAUGUUCAAAAUCCAGGUGACAUGGUUGUGCUUGGACAAUAAUGAAGAGGUUUGUGGUGUUAAUGCCUGAGCUCCAAUCUAGAUACUCCUGAUGAUGGAAUCUACAGAUUGCCUAGUGUCAGUCAGUAAAGGUAGCCAAGAAGAUAAGUGCUCCCACUUACUGCUUCAUGCAAGAUUUAACCAAUCCAUGAAUGGGAAACCCAAUCAGGAUACAUCCUGCUCUGUAAUGUUUUAGAAGGUGCCAUAUCUUAAACUGAGUCCUUCACCAUUGCCUUAGUUCUACUGUUAGUGUUACAUUACUUUGCAUUCAAUUUCAUACUCCCUUGCUGCCUUCCUUGAAUGUUCUGCUAACUUAUGAAGAGGUUCUGUCAUCCAUUUGUGUAGGUAGAGAAGAAGGAAGAGGUUCAGGGAAGAGGUGCACACCUUCAUAGCUGCAGCCACUGGUCCACGUGAUCCACAUGAUCCUUUGCUUUGAAGAUAGUCAUGCUGCCUAGCUGCAUUUCGGUGGUGAUGGAGUCAGUGACUUGCUGCUAUGCUUUGGCUCGUGUUGACUGUGUUAACUCCUUGUCAUAAAUUGCCCCAUCACUUUGAGAAUAUUCUCUGUUACUAACUUUAAUAAUAGUUGUAUUUUAAUUAUGCCUUUUGAAUGCUAGACCAGCUACUUUCUUUCUCUCUAGUUCUUAUACAACCCUUUGAAUUAUUACUCCAUUUUAUGGAUUGAGGAAACAGGACCCAGAGAGACUAAUUAAUUUAUUCCAUGGUAGCCCAUUACUCAGUGGCCCUGGAGGUCAUGUGUAUGUGCAUGUGUGUGUAUGUGCAUGUGUGUGUAUGUGCAUGUGUGUGUAUGUGCAUGUGUGUGUAUGUGCAUGUGUGUGUAUGUGUAUGUGUGUAUUGAGAAGAAAGGGGGCAGGAGAAAAGUUUAUUCUGAAACUAUAUGAUUAUUUUUUACUAUAUCACAUUACUUGUCAUUAGGCUUUCUAGAGUUGACUGAACCUUUGGAUUGAAUGGCCCACGUAAAAUCCUUCCAUAAUGGUGAUUUCCAUUCUCAAUUUUUUUAACAGCUCGUGUUGGAGAAGCAGCUGCUUAUUUACAAGGUAUUUUUUAGUAGUACCUAUUAAAAGGUCACCUUUUAGAUGUCACCUUUUUAUGCAGAUGUACUUCCCUGUUUUGCAGUGGUUGAUGUUGUAUUUACAUGCAAUUCUACUCACAGGGCCCCAAUGCAUGAUCCAAUCAUUGUCUUCGAUUUAGAAUGCUAUUUGGACACAGUAGGUCAUAGAGGAGGAAAAGGGACACAAGGAGAAAGUGCAGGGGAGACAAUAGGGAGUGGCAGGAAGGAGAACUGUAUCAUACAAAAAUUGCAGGACUUUCCACUUGAGUGACCUAUGCCUUUUUGCUUGUUUGUUUGCUCACUUGCUUACUUUACCAUGGCUAGGCUGGGGAUGUGUUUUUGUCUCUGGAUAAAUUGUCCACUGGGAAAAGACCAGGGUAUAAAUACAGAAGAAAUAGUAAUAUUAGCACCACUUCUUUCUAGGCCCUGGUUUUGUAACUCUUCUUCUCAUACAGGAAAAUAGCUCUUGUGUGCUCACAAGUGAAAUGAGAUACAAGAAAAUUUUGUUGUUGUUCUUAGAGUAGGGUGGGAAACCCAACAUAUGGGAAUUUUCUGAGUGUUGCAAAUUGCCUACCGUCCUGUUAAGUAUUGCUGAGCAGCUAAUAAAAAAAGUAAAAACAGGUAAAAUGAAGCAGCUAGUCCAGGAAGUGCUACAAAUUUACAUAUUAUGUAGAGUGCUAGGUUACUGUAAAUGAUUCCAUUUGAAGGGUGUUCUGGUAAAUCUAGUGCGCGUUCCCACACCUAGCACACAGACCUCAAAGGAGCAGACAGACCUGGGUCCAGACCACCCCUGGUUUCACAAGCUUCAGAGGCCUUGAAUGGUAUUUAACUUCCCUGACCAUCGUUGCUCUUGGAUGGAAUGGAGAUAAUAAUACCUUCCUUAUGAAGAAAAUAGGCAAAAUCAAAUUAUCACUUAAGAUUCCCUUCAGCUUUUACAAUAUAACCUUUAGUGUGGGAAAAUCAGGCAUGUAACAAGUAGACCAAUAUCUGAACACCGAUGCAUUGAGAUUCCAUCCAAUUUGGGCACCAAAUCAAUCAUCAACUUGGCCUUGGAUGACCCUGAGAACUCAGAUUAAGGUUGAAGAGAAUUAAUAUGUGUACCAGGCUUGCCAAUUUAACAAACACCCUUAUGCAUUUUGUCUUAUUUAAUCCAAACAACAACUCCUUAAAAGAGGUUUUGUUAUUAGCCUCAGUAGAAGAAACCUGCGUCUCAAGGAAUUUACUAGCCCGUGAACACAAACCUGGUCAUUCUAGUGGAAAAUCCUGCAAUCUUUGUAUGAUACAGUUCUCCUUCCUGCCACUCCCUGUUCUCUCCCCCUGCACUUUCUCCUUUUGUCCCCUUUGCUCCACUUUUUAUUACCUUCUGUGUCCAAAUAGCAUUCUAAAUCUAAGACAAUUUUUGGAUCAUGCAUCAGGGCCCUGUGCAUGGAAUUUGAUGUGAAUGCAACAUUAGCCAUCGCUAAACAGGAAAGCAUGUCUGAACAAAAAGGUGACAUCUGUAGGAUAGUGGUUUCUGAUUUGUGAGUCCUGGAUCCUCAGGUGGACUGUAGUAGAGCAAGUGUAGCAUGGAGUCUCAGCUCUAUGUAAAGUAAUCUACUCAGUAGACUAUGGAUGGAAUAAACAAUCUGGCUCACCCAUAUCUCCACAUUCUCAUUACAAAUAUUUACACCUGC
rnacentral:lncRNA from 1 species